ensembl:lncRNA
AAAGGCACAAUGCAUCCCGUUCUCUGAACUGAGCUGCUUCUCUCUUGAAGUCCAACUUAGGAGCCUCAGUUUGCUUGGGUGUAGGAGUUUCAGAAGGUAACUGGACAAUGCCACCAUUUGAUUAGUCAUUCAUUCUGCAUUCUGCAUUCAACGUUUUGCUGAGUAGUACAAGCUAGCUGAUAUACUAGACACAAUCCAGGAGGGAAAACAGAUAAUAGGAGGAACAUAGGCGAUAAGUGGUUAUACUGGAUCUGUGUUGGAGGAGAGUGGAGAGAAAAUUACCAAGAGAGUCACCCUUUCUCCUGGGCCUUGAAGAACAGGUUACACUCUACAACCAAGUGUCAUCUUCCCUCACGGAAAAUAAUGAAGGGAUGUCCACUUUCCCUCAAUAUGAAGAGUGUGCGAAAUGGAUUGAAUCCAGGAAAAAAGAAACAAGUACUGUACUCAGAAAUCGCACAAGGAGCCUGGCACCGGUGGCGGACCGAGUGUGGACUAUGUGCAGUGUAUCCUGCAUUCCUGAGUCCCCUUCCCAAGUGUACUCUAGAAUUGCUCUUCCCCAUCCCUUUUGCAGUUAGGCAGCGCUACAUGACCCGUGUUAGAUGGAGAUAUGCAUGAGAAUGAACUGUAUUAGACACGAGCAGAAGCUGUCCGGCAUGCUUCCUCUCCACAGCUGUGUGGAUCAGGGAAGCAAAUGUCGAGACGGUUUCAUUAACCUGGGUCCCUGAGAGAACACAAUGAUCAGAGUCGUUCUGCUGACUCCAGUUAGACAGGUGCAUUAAAGAGAAAGUAAAGCCCC